rnacentral:rRNA from 1 species
GAUCCUGGCUCAGGAUGAACGCUAGCGGCAAGCCUAACACAUGCAAGUCGAGGGGCAUCACGAGGUAGCAAUACUUUGGUGGCGACCGGCGCACGGGUGCGUAACGCGUAUGUAACCUACCUAUAACAGGGGCAUAACACUGAGAAAUUGGUACUAAUUCCCCAUAAUAUUCGGAGAGGCAUCUCUCCGGGUUGAAAACUCCGGUGGUUAUAGAUGGACAUGCGUUGUAUUAGCUGGUUGGUGAGG